GGAGGUAGGUACAAUAAAUCACAAUGCGGGACUGUUAGUCUUGCAAUUGGAUUGAGAACAACGUACAACUCUUAUCGAUAAGCCAUUGGAGGGCAAGUCUGGUGCCAGCAGCCGCGGUAAUUCCAGCUCCAAUAGCGUAUAUUAACGUUGUUGCAGUUAAAAAGCUCGUAGUUGAAGUGAGGGAGUGUGUAGUAGGACCGACUUGAUCGGAACUGCUGCAACCUCCCCCCUCCAAUCGGUGUAGUGGGGUAUUCAGUUCAGUUAUUCUACUACUCCUUUGGUCGUUUACUGUGAGAAAAUUAGAGUGUUCAAAGCGGGCGUUUGUUUGAAUAGAUUAGCAUGGAAUAAUGAUUGAAGGCUUUCGUGUUCGAUUUGGUUGGUUUGUUCAUGGAAGCAAGGUUAAAAGGAACAGUUGGGGGUAUUCAUAUUCACUAGUUAGAGUGAAAUUCUCGGAUUUAUGGAAGAUGAACA
rnacentral:rRNA from 1 species